rnacentral:rRNA from 1 species
CCAGACUCCUACGGGAGGCAGCAGUGGGGAAUAUUGCACAAUGGGGGAAACCCUGAUGCAGCGACGCCGCGUGAGUGAAGAAGUAUUUCGGUAUGUAAAGCUCUAUCAGCAGGGAAGAAAUAGCGACCUUUGGGUCGCCAGACGGUACCUGAUUAAGAAGCCCCGGCUAACUACGUGCCAGCAGCCGCGGUAAUACGUAGGGGGCAAGCGUUAUCCGGAUUUACUGGGUGUAAAGGGAGCGUAGACGGCAGAGCAAGUCUGAAGUGAAAGCCCGCGGCCCAACUGCGGGACUGCUUUGGAAACUGCCCGGCUAGAGUGCUGGAGAGGUAAGCGGAAUUCCUAGUGUAGCGGUGAAAUGCGUAGAUAUUAGGAGGAACACCAGUG